rnacentral:rRNA from 1 species
UACGUAGGGUGCAAGCGUUGUCCGGAAUUUAUUGGGCGUAAAGAGCUCGUAGGCGGUUUGUCGCGUCUGCUGUGAAAACGCGGGGCUCAACUCCGCGCCUGCAGUGGGUACGGGCAGACUAGGAGUGCAGUAGGGGGAGACUGGAAUUCCUGGUGUAGCGGUGGAAUGCGCAGAUAUCAGGAGGAACACCGGUGGCGAAGGCGGGUCUCUGGGCUGUAACUGACGCUGGAGG